rnacentral:rRNA from 1 species
GCGGAUGAGGAGAGCUUGCUCUCUGAUUCAGCGGCGGACGGGUGAGUAAUGCCUAGGAAUCUGCCUGGUAGUGGGGGACAACGUUUCGAAAGGAACGCUAAUACCGCAUACGUCCUACGGGAGAAAGUGGGGGAUCUUCGGACCUCACGCUAUCAGAUGAGCCUAGGUCGGAUUAGCUAGUUGGUGGGGUAACGGCUCACCAAGGCGACGAUCCGUAACUGGUCUGAGAGGAUGAUCAGUCACACUGGAACUGAGACACGGUCCAGACUCCUACGGGAGGCAGCAGUGGGGAAUAUUGGACAAUGGGCGAAAGCCUGAUCCAGCCAUGCCGCGUGUGUGAAGAAGGCCCUCGGGUCGUAAAGCACUUUAAGCUGGGAGGAAGGGUUGUAACCUAAUACGUUGCAGCUUUGACGUUACCAGCAGAAUAAGCACCGGCUAACUCUGUGCCAGCAGCCGCGGUAAUACAGAGGGUGCAAGCGUUAAUCGGAAUUACUGGGCGUAAAGCGCGCGUAGGUGGCUUGGUAAGUUGAAUGUGAAAUCCCCGGGCUCAACCUGGGAACUGCAUCCAAAACUGCCUGGCUAGAGUACGGUAGAGGGUGGUGGAAUUUCCUGUGUAGCGGUGAAAUGCGUAGAUAUAGGAAGGAACACCAGUGGCGAAGGCGACCACCUGGACUGAUACUGACACUGAGGUGCGAAAGCG